AAUGAUUUAUUUAAUGGCCGCGGUAUUCUGACCGUGCAAAGGUAGCAUAAUCAUUAGCCUAUUAAUUGUGGGCUAGAAUGAAUGGUUGGACGAAAUAUUAACUGUCUCAUUUUUUUUUCUAAAACUUAAAUUUUGAGUUAAAAUGCUUAAAUUUUUUUAAAGGACGAGAAGACCCUAUAGAUCUUUAUUUUUGAUUUAAUUAAUCUAUUUAGAUUUUUUAUUUUUAAUUUAUUUCAAUUAUUUUGUUGGGGUGACAUGGGGAUAUUUUAAACUCUUUAUUUUCUUUUUCAUUUAUUUAUGCAUAUGUGACCUUUUAUUAUUGUUAUAAGAUUUAGAUACCUUAGGGAUAACAGCGUAAUUCCUCUUGAGAGUUCAUAUUGACAGUGGAGAUUGCGACCUCGAUGUUGGAUUAAGAUUAUUAUCAGGUGUAGGGGCUUGAUUAUUAGGUCUGUUCGACCUUUAAAUUCUUACAUGAUCUGAGU
rnacentral:rRNA from 1 species